rnacentral:rRNA from 1 species
UUUCGGGAGGAAGAGGAAGGACUGUACUCCCGGAAUAAGUCUCGGCUAACUACGUGCCAGCAGCCGCGGUAAUACGUAGGAGGCAAACGUUAUCCGGAUUUACUGGGCGUAAAGCGCGUGUAGGCGGUUCGGUAAGUUGGACGUGAAAGCUCCCGGCUCAACUGGGAGAGGUCGUUCAAUACUGUCGGACUUGAGGAUGGUAGAGGGAGGUGGAAUUCCGGGUGUAGUGGUGAAAUGCGUAGAUAUCCGGAGGAACACCAGUGGCGAAGGCGAUUUUCUGGCUCAAGACUGACGCUCAGACGCGAAAGCUAGGGUAGCAAACGGGAUUAGAGACCCCGGUAGUCCUAGCCGUAAACGAUGUGAACUUGGCGUCGGUGGGAUUAAAUCCAUCGGUGUCGAAGCUAACGCGAUAAGUUCACCGCCUGAGGACUACGGCCGCAAGGUUAAAACUCAAAGGAAUUGACGGGGACCCGCACAAGCAGCGGAGCGUGUGGUUUAAUUCGUUGCUACACGAAGAACCUUACCUGGGUUUGACAUAGCAGUGGUAGGGAAGAGAAAUCGGACCGACCCUUCGGGGAGCUGUUACAGGUGUUGCAUGGCUGUCGUCAGCUCGUGUCGUGAGAUGUUCGGUUAAGUCCGCUAACGAGCGCAACCCUCGCCGUAUGUUAUAUGUGUCAUACGGGACGCCGGUAUUAAGUCGGAGGAAGGUGCGGAUGACGUCAAGUCAGCAUGACCUUUAUAUCCAGGGCUACACACACGCUACAAUGGACAGUACAACAGGUUGCCAAGCCGCGAGGCGGAGCCAAUCCUCUAAAGCUGUCCUCAGUUCAGAUUGCAGGCUGCAACUCGCCUGCAUGAAGUUGGAGUUGCUAGUAACCGCAGGUCAGCUAUACUGCGGUGAAUACGUUCCCGGGGCUUGUACACACCGCCCGUCACGUCAUGGGAGCUGGUAACACCUGAAGCCGGUAGCUUAACCCGCAAGGGAGAGCGCUGUCAAAGGUGGGGCUGGUGACUGGGACGAAGUCGUAACAAGGUAGGUGUACCGGAAGGUGCGCCUG